rnacentral:rRNA from 1 species
GACGGAGGGUGCAAGCGUUGUUCGGAAUUACUGGGCGUAAAGCGCGGGCAGGUGGCCUUUUAAGUCCUUUGUGAAAUUCCGGAGCUCAACUCCGGAUGUGCAUAGGAUACUGGAAGGCUGGAGACUGGUAGAGGCGAGCGGAAUUCCUGGUGUAGCGGUGGAAUGCGUAGAUAUCAGGAAGAACACCGGUGGCGAAGGCGGCUACCUGGACCGGUUCUGACGCUGAUGCGCGAAAGCGUGGGUAGCAAACAGG